rnacentral:tRNA from 1 species
GGGUAGUGGCUCAGGGGUGGAGCACUUGCCUAGCAUGUGUGAGGCACUGGGUUCAAUCCCCAGCCCCA